rnacentral:rRNA from 1 species
CCGGGAUGUUCAUAACCCUUUGUUGUCCGACUCUGUUGCCUCCGGGGCGACCCUGCCUUCGGGCGGGGGCUCCGGGUGGACACUUCAAACUCUUGCGUAACUUUGCAGUCUGAGUAAACUUAAUUAAUAAAUUAAAACUUUUAACAACGGAUCUCUUGGUUCUGGCAUCGAUGAAGAACGCAGCGAAAUGCGAUAAGUAAUGUGAAUUGCAGAAUUCAGUGAAUCAUCGAAUCUUUGAACGCACAUUGCGCCCCCUGGUAUUCCGGGGGGCAUGCCUGUUCGAGCGUCAUUUCACCACUCAAGCCUCGCUUGGUAUUGGGCAACGCGGUCCGCCGCGUGCCUCAAAUCGACCGGCUGGGUCUUCUGUCCCCUAAGCGUUGUGGAAACUAUUCGCUAAAGGGUGCUCGGGAGGCUACGCCGUAAAACAACCCCAUUUCUAAGGUUGACCUCGGAUCAGGUAGGGAUACCCGCUGAACUUAAGCAUAUCAAUAAGCGGAGGAAAAGAAACCAACAGGGAUUGCUCUAGUAACGGCGAGUGAAGCAGCAAUAGCUCAAAUUUGAAAUCUGGCGUCUUCGGCGUCCGAGUUGUAAUUUGUAGAGGAUGCUUCUGAGUAACCACCGACCUAAGUUCCUUGGAACAGGACGUCAUAGAGGGUGAGAAUCCCGUAUGCGGUCGGAAAGGUGCUCUACACGUAGCUCCUUCGACGAGUCGAGUUGUUUGGGAAUGCAGCUCUAAAUGGGAGGUAAAUUUCUUCUANAGCUAAAUAUUGGCCAGAGACCGAUAGCGCACAAGUAGAGUGAUCGAAAGAUGAAAAGCACUUUGGGAAAGAGAGUUAAAAAGCACGUGAAAUUGUUAAAAGGGAAGGGAUUGCAACCAGACUUGCUCGCGG